GGUUGCUGAGAAGACGAAGACCGCACCCCGUCUGCCGGAGUCCGGGGAAGCGGAGCGAGGCCGUGUGUGUGAGCGUCUUAGCGCUGCUGGCGGCGAGCGCAUAGUGGGUGUCCGUUAAAGGGGAGCUUUUAUUAUUUUCAGGGUUAGCAGUUAGCCGUUCAAGCCCCUGGGACUGUGUCGGCACAGAGUAGACACCCGAUAAAUGGCUGGUGAAGCAGCCAGUUCUGGGAGCAAAUAGGAAGAGAAGGCGAGGGUGCUAGAUCACUCAAAUUACCAGGGCAAUUGUUCAGCUAGGCUGAGGCUCCAGAGGAAUCUGCCAGCUGCCUGCCCAUCAGCUCUUGGUGGUAGGUUUGGUACUCACCACCAGACCUCCUGCUAUAGCUUCGGCACGCCUGGUCUUGUUUGGUUGGAUUUAUCCCUGGUUGGUGCUGUCUGGCACAGAAGAGGUUUGUUUUUUCUGGAAGAGGUCAUGGUGCUGCAUUCCCUGAGCGUCUGUCUGCAUGAUGCCUGAUCUUUGCAGGAACGCUUUGCUGGGCAACACUUUUUAAAAGUGUAGUCAUCUUUUUUUUUUUUUAAUUGGAUUUUAUUGAGGCACAACAUUGUCCAGCUGUUUGCUGUGGUGUCACGAACCACCUCAACACUAGUGUCACGUUCAUGGCAGUAGCAUUCACAACGGCCAAAAGGCGGAAGCAACCCGAGUGUCCAUCAGCAGAAAAAUGCAUCAACACAAGGUGAUCCGUGUGUACGAAAGACUCUUAUUUGGUCUUGGUAAGGAAGGAAUGCCUGGCACGUGCUGCUGCCUGGAUGAAACUUAAGGACAAGAUGCUAAGUGAAAUGAGCCAGUCACCAAAAGAAGCACAAAUCCUAUGUGAUCCUUCUGAUAUGAGCUUCCUAGAGUGGUCAGGUCCAUAGACACAGAAAGUACGGUGGUUGCCACAGGCAACAGGGAGAGGAAAAGGGGAGCUGUUCUUGGUAGGUGUAGAGUUUCCGUUUUUCAAGAUGAAAACGUUCUGGAAUCUGUUGCAUAACUCUGUGAAUAUACUUAAUUCUGUGCUGUACAGUUAACAAUGACAAAGACGAUAAUUUUUUUUUUUUAAACUGUAUUUAUUUGUUCUGAGAGAGAGACAGCUCAAGCAGGGGAGAGGCAGAGAAAGAAGGAGAGAGAGAAUCCCAAGCAGGCUCCACGCUGUCGGCGCAGACCCUGAUGUGCGGCUCAACUCACCAACCCUGAGAUCACGACCUGAGUCAAAAUCAAGAGUUGGACCCUUAAGUGAGCCACCCAGAAGCACCAAGAUGAUAAAUUUUACGUUAUGUGUUUUUCCAAUUUUUAAAAGCAUAGUAAUGUAAGACAGGCACCUCCAUUUUAUUGUGUUCCUGGGCAAUCUGGGUCAGGGGUUUGGGCCCAGGGAAGGUGGCUCUUCUCUGCUCCAGAAUGUGUGGGACCCGAGCUGGGGUGACCUCAGUGGCUGGGGCCGGAGAAUACCCAUCUGAGCCGAUUUCUUGACUCAUAUGCGUGGCGUCUGGGCUGGACAGAUCUGGGUUGCGGCCGCGCGGAUCUCCAGUCUGGCACCGCAGGGAAGCCAGACUUCUCACAGGGUGACUCAGGCCGGCAAGAAGGAGCACUCCCAGCAGGCAAGGGGUGGCCUUUUAUGGCCACCUCUCAGAAGUGAUGUCACGUCACUUUCAUCAGAAUCUUUUGAUCCACCUGUCACAAGAACACACCCAAGUUCAAAGGGUGGGGACUUAGACCCCACCUCUCAAUGGGAGGAGUAUCAAGUCAUUUGUGUUGUUGUUUUGAUUGACUGAUUUUACUUUGUAAAGAUUUUUUAAUGUUUAUUU